GCAUAGCUCAGUUGGCAGAGCAGCUGAUUUGUAAUCAGCAGGUCGGUGGUUCGAAUCCACUUG
rnacentral:tRNA from 1 species